UACGUAGGGGGCAAGCGUUGUCCGGAUUUAUUGGGCGUAAAGAGCGUGUAGGCGGCCAUACAGGUCAGCUGUGAAAACUCGAGGCUCAACCUCGAGACGUCGGUUGAAACCGUAUGGCUAGAGUCCGGAAGGGGAGAGUGGAAUUCCCGGUGUAGCGGUGAAAUGCGCAGAUAUCGGGAAGAACACCCGUGGCGAAAGCGGCUCUCUGGGACGGUACUGACGCUGAGACGCGAAAGCGUGGGGAGCGAACAGG
rnacentral:rRNA from 1 species